CUUCAGUGACGAUAUGAUGACGAGUCAGAAAGGGGCACCCUCUUGAUCAGAGCAGACAGCCCUGCGCCACGUUCUGGGGUGCUUUGCUGGUUAACUCUGACGAUGGUGCUCUGUCCACUGGAUGACCAGAGGCAUUUGUCUGAGAAGG